ACAUUAAAACUGGAACUUUCCUCUUGAUAUACCAUAUCAAUUAUUUAAUGUGUAUUAUGCAUUUCACUUUUCUUCCCACUCGCAUGCUGAGAAGAUCACUGCAAGUAUCAGUUAAUGCAUUUGGAAGUUUAUUGUUUUUAUUCAUGGACAAGAAUCAUAAAUUCGGUCAUGUAUUCACCAGUUGCUUUUGUUUCCUGCGUAGGUUUUCUUAUGCUUCAUUGCGUUGUGCAUUUACAUUUGAAUUUUCAUUACUCGUCAAAGACUCGGUGAUUUACUUGGCUAGUUUGGGUGUGAGAAUCAAAAUAUCAGCAUGGUAUAAUUCACGAGUAAAAUAGAAUUUGUUGCUGCACUACUGAUAUUAUGGACAUCUUUGUCCUUUGUGUACAUAAAUCUGGGGUUCUUGCAUUUCAGCGAACGGAAGUUAUCAGUUUAGUGCUUAGCAAGGCUGCAGUAAUCGGAACCCAUCUGAAUUGCGCUCAGGCCCGUGAAGUCCCUCCAUCGGGCCAUGUCAAUGUCUGACCGACAGUUUUGUGUUCCAAUUCUCAUCAGGCCAGUAGACUCUAGACUGUUUGAUGCCACCGAAGAUGAUCUGACAAGCGAAAGAGGCACUUGAGCCGCAUGUGGCAUGGGCUCGUAGGCACCUCUACUCGUCGCCCACCAUGUUGGGGGUGGUCCGCAAAGGAUGUCCAGAACCUUCACUUCAGUCAUGGACUCAUUCCCGCAUUUGCCGGCGAGGACGAAGCGCAGGAUCAGAGAUGCUGAUGGAGCUGAUGAUGUCAUCCGGGCUGUACACGUCCCGGUGCUCUAGGAACAUAUGUACAGUCAAAAGGGGGAGGAUGAAGACGAGAAGGAGACCGUGAAUGCAGUUGGAGGCGGCAAGUACCCUUUUUUUUUGGAGCUGAAAAGGAUGAUAUUACAAGUACCCUUUUGUCGGAGUGGCAAUACUACAAGGGAUCCCAGGGCGCCAUUUGCAGCACAUGUUGACCAUAUUGCUCCUCAUGACUAACUAUAUUACUUGUCUUCUAUUGGAGAUGCCAUAACCAACAACUAUAUCAUGCGAGCUCC